rnacentral:rRNA from 1 species
UUCCGGUUGAUCCUGCCAGACCUGACUGCUAUCGGAUUGAUACUAAGCCAUGCGAGUCAUUGUAGCAAUACAAGGCAUACGGCUCAGUAACGCGUAGUCAACCUAACCUAUGGACGGGAAUAACCUCGGGAAACUGAGAAUAAUGCCCGAUAGAACAUUAUACCUGGAAUGGUUUAUGUUCCAAAUGAUUUAUCGCCGUAGGAUGGGACUGCGGCCUAUCAGUUUGUUGGUGAGGUAAUGGCCCACCAAGACUAUUACAGGUACGGGCUCUGAGAGGAGUAGCCCGGAGAUGGGUACUGAGACACGGACCCAGGCCCUAUGGGGCGCAGCAGGCGAGAAAACUUUGCAAUGUGCGAAAGCACGACAAGGUUAAUCCGAGUGAUUUCUGCUAAAGAAAUCUUUUGUUAGUCCUAGAAACACUAACGAAUAAGGGGUGGGCAAGUUCUGGUGUCAGCCGCCGCGGUAAAACCAGCACCUCAAGUGGUCAGGAUGAUUAUUGGGCCUAAAGCAUCCGUAGCCGGCUCUGUAAGUUUUCGGUUAAAUCUGUACGCUCAACGUACAGGCCGCCGGGAAUACUGCAAAGCUAGGGAGUGGGAGAAGUAGACGGUACUCGGUAGGAAGUGGUAAAAUGCUUUGAUCUAUCGAUGACCACCUGUGGCGAAGGCGGUCUACUAGAACACGUCCGACGGUGAGGGAUGAAAGCUGGGGGAGCAAACCGGAUUAGAUACCCGGGUAGUCCCAGCUGUAAACUAUGCAAACUCAGUGAUGCAUUGGCUUGUGGCCAAUGCAGUGCUGCAGGGAAGCCGUUAAGUUUGCCGCCUGGGAAGUACGUACGCAAGUAUGAAACUUAAAGGAAUUGGCGGGGGAGCACCAC